UCCGCUCAGCCAUCUCUCC
rnacentral:tRNA from 3 species